AACGAACGCUGGCGGCAGGCUUAACACAUGCAAGUCGAGCGCCCCGCAAGGGUGGCGGCACACGGGUGAGUAACGCGUAAGGACUUAGCUUUUGGUUAGUAACAACUCCGGGACACUGGGGCUAAUACGGGAUACGGCGUCAAGUGGUAAGAUUUAUAGCCGAAAGCUCGGCCCUGUGCUGAUUGGGUAGUUGGUGAGGUGACGGCACACCAAGGCGACGAUCAUUAGCUGGGCGGAGAGGAUGAUCAGCUACACUGGGACUACGACACGGCCCAGGCUCCUACGCGAGGCAGCAGUGGGUAAUAUUGUACGCUGGGGGCAAGCCUGACCCCGCCAUGUCGGGUGAGUGAUGAAGGCCUUAGGGUUGUAAAGCCAUUUUGGACGGGAAGAUAGUGACGGUACCGGAAGAAGAAGCCCCGGCUAACUACGUG
rnacentral:rRNA from 1 species